UCCCUAGCAUGUGGUAGCUGUCUGAUUGGUUGAAUCCGUUUGGCCGUCUCACGUUUGAUUGGAAGGUCAUAGGGCGCUCAAGGGUUAGCUGACGUGACCUUCUACUAGGGUUUGUUAGACUGAGGUCAGUAUAGCAGUGUAACGAAUAAUACUGAGCCUAAGUUUA